CGCUCGCUCCUCGCCUGAGGGGAGAGAAGCGGGCAGUUAGCCGAGCGGCUUGGCCCCUCGCCUCGCCUCGCCCCGCCGCCUCUCACCGUGCCGCCGGCCCACGACGCCGUCGAUGAAGCAGGAGCUGGAAUGAUUGCUGCUUCAUCCUGUUUCUUCAUAGCACUUUUUGCUGCUGCUGCUGUCAUUUUACAUGGUAAAACGAGCUCUGCAGCAACUGCUGACUUUGAAGAGAGCUCUGCACGGUGUGGUUGUGAGACAACACCUUUCUCAAACCACAGAACUGCCCUGUUAACUGCCCGAGGACCUGGGUGCUGUGUAAAAGCAUCAUAAACUUUGCCUAUGACCAAGUUCAGCCUUAGUGAUGACGUUGAGCUGCUUUUUCAUACCUGUUUCUCGGAU